UCGCGCUCGCGCCUCUGACAGAGCUAGGGCAGAAAAACUCCAACGCGCGGCGAUAUCGAUCGGCCCUCCCCUCCUCGCCGUCUCCUCCGACUUCUCAGCCCUUCCCUCGCUCGCCGACGCCAUCACUACAGUCCAACAAGUCUUUUUUUUUGCGAAAAUCACCUUUCGAUUUUUGGGAAAAUCUCCAGUUCUCGACAAAUUCCCAAAUCAAAGAAGAGCCAUAAGGAUAUUCGCAAAUCCAGUGCCCUAAGCCGCUUCUGCAUCAAACGUCGUCAGGAUGUUGCGCACCACCGCCGCGCGGGAGUCGCUCGCACCACCGGUCACGGCCAGGGCUGGUCCGCGCCGCCACGCCAUCGCCGUGUCCGGGGUCACGACGUGCGAGAUCUGCGAGAUCUGCUCCGAUUCAGAGAGAGGGAGACGAGCCGCUUCAGUAUCCGGC
rnacentral:lncRNA from 1 species